rnacentral:rRNA from 1 species
CAGUCGCCGCGGUAAUACGGAGGGGGCUAGCGUUGUUCGGAAUUACUGGGCGUAAAGCGCACGUAGGCGGCUUGGUAAGCUAGAGGUGAAAGCCCGGAGCUCAACUCCGGAAUUGCCUUUAAGACUGCCGAGCUAGCAGGUGAGAGAGGUAAGUGGAAUUUUGAGUGUAGAGGUGAAAUUCGUAGAUAUUCGGAAGAACACCAGUGGCGAAGGCGGCUUACUGGCUCAUACUGGACGCUGAGGUGCGAAAGCGUGGGGAGCAAACAGGAUUAGAUACCCCCGUAGUCCCUGUCUCUUAUAC